AGGUGGCUUUUUAAGUCUCCCAUUAAACCGCAGGGCUCAACCUUGGACAUGCGGAGGAAAUUGCCAAGUUAGAAUACGAUAGAAGUAGAGGGAAUUUUCAGUGGAAUGGUGAAAUGCGUAGAGAUCGGAAAGAACACCAACAGCGAAAGCACUCUACUAGCAAGACACC
rnacentral:ncRNA from 1 species